AGGUGAGAAACCUGCACACCGAAAGCCUAAGGUUUCCUGGGCAAGGCUGAUCCUCCCAGGGUAAGUCGGGUCCUAAGCACAGGCCGAAAGGCGUAAGCGAUGGGAAGCAGGUGAAUAUUCCUGCACCAUUGUGUGUGCGUUCGAGCGAUGGGGUGACGCGGAAGGUAGGGCCAUCCGGGUGAUGGAUGUCCCGGUUUGCACCUGUAGGAGGGAGCGGCAGGCAAAUCCACCGCUCCAACUCCGAGGGGUGUGACGAGAGCUUCGGCUCGCAAAGUGGUCGUGUCCAUGCCGCCGAGAAAAACCUCUAAGCGAGUACACAUAAUGUCCGUACCGCAAACCGACACAGGUGGGCGAGGAGAGGAUCCUCAGGUGUUCGAGCUAACCCGGGUUAAGGAACUAGGCAAAAUGGUCCCGUAACUUAGGGAUAAGGGACGCCCGGUCUGGUGACGGUGUACAACCUGAGCCGGGCUGGGCCGCAGAGAAAUGGCCUGGGCGACUGUUUACUAAAAACACACGUCUCUGCCAAGUCGUAAGACGACGUAUAGGGACUGACACCUGCCCGGUGCUGGAGCGUUAAGGGGAGAGGUCAGAAUACGCCUAACCGUGUAUUCGAAGCUUUGAACCGAAGCCCCAGUAAACGGCGGCCGUAACUAUAACGGUCCUAAGGUAGCGAAAUUCCUUGUCGGGUAAGUUCCGACCCGCACGAAUGGUGUAACGAUUUGGGCACUGUCUCAACCCGGGGCUCGGCGAAAUUGCAGUGGCGGUGAAGAUACCGUUUUCCCGUGGAAGGACAGGAAGACCCCGUGGACCUUUACUGCAGCUUGAUAUUGGGUUCCGCCGUGGCGUGUGUAGGAUAGGCGGGAGACUUUGAAGCCCGGUCGCCAGAUCAGGUGGAGUCAACGUUGAAAUACCGUCCUCGUUUCGUUGGAACUCUAACACGGGUCCGUGAUCCGGAUCGUGGACAGUGUCUGGUGGGCAGUUUGACUGGGGUGGUCGCCUCCCAAAAAGUAACGGAGGCGCCCAAAGGUUCCCUCAGCGCGGUCGGUAAUCGCGCGUCGAGUGCAAAGGCACAAGGGAGCUUGACUGCGAGACGGACAGGUCGAGCAGGUACGAAAGUAGGGCUUAGUGAUCCUGCGGUCCCGAGUGGAAGGGCCGUGGCUCAACGGAUAAAAGGUACCCCGGGGAUAACAGGCUGAUCGCCACCGAGAGUUCACAUCGACGUGGCGGUUUGGCACCUCGAUGUCGGCUCAAUGCAUCCUGGGGCUGAACAAGGUCCCAAGGGUUCGGCUGUUCGCCGAUUAAAGCGUUACGCGAGCUGGGUUUAGAACGUCGUGAGACAGUUCGGUCUCUAUCCUCCACGGGUGUAGGAAGCUUGAGGGGAUCUGUCUUCAGUACGAGAGGACCGAGACGGACGCACCUCUAGUGUACCAGUUGUCCCGCCAGGGGCACCGCUGGGUAGCUACGUGCGGACCAGGAUAAGCGCUGAAAGCAUCUAAGUGCGAAACCGGCCCCAAAACUAGGCUUCCCGACCGAAAGGUCCUCAAGGCCACUCGGAGAUUACGAGUUUGAUAGGCCGCAGGUGUAAGCACAGUAAUGUGUUCAGCCGAGCGGUACUAAUCGGCCGUGCGGCUUCAUU
rnacentral:rRNA from 1 species